GUGGGGAAUUUUGGACAAUGGGCGCAAGCCUGAUCCAGCAAUGCCGCGUGCAGGAAGAAGGCCUUCGGGUUGUAAACUGCUUUUGUACGGAACGAAACGGUCCGGGUUAAUACCCUGGGCUAAUGACGGUACUGUAAGAAUAAGCACCGGCUAACUACGUGCCAGCAGCCGCGGUAAUACGUAGGGUGCAAGCGUUAAUCGGAAUUACUGGGCGUAAAGCGUGCGCAGGCGGUUUUGUAAGACAGGCGUGAAAUCCCCGGGCUCAACCUGGGAAUUGGGAUUGUGACUGCAAGGCUGGAGUGCGGCAGAGGGGGAUGGAAUUCCGCGUGUAGCAGUGAAAUGCGUAGAUAUGCGGAGGAACACCGAUGGCGAAGGCAAUCCCCUGGGCCUGCACUGACGCUCAUGCACGAAAGCGUGGGGAGCAAACAGGAUUAGAUACCCCUGUAGUCC
rnacentral:rRNA from 1 species